ACGCCCACUUUGGCAGCAUGCACACUAAACAUGAGACAAUUCAGAGGAGAUUCACAUGGUCCCCAUGCAAGGAUAGCAGGGACAUCUAGGAAGCUGUCCACGUUUAA
rnacentral:snRNA from 14 species